GGGCGGGGCCCAGGUGAAGGGUGUGGGAGAGGCCUAGACGAGGGGCGGGGCCUGGAUGAGGGGAGGGGCGUGGCAUGGGAGGGGUGGGCCGAGGACAGGGCAGGGUCGGGGCCCAGGUGAAAGGGUGGUGGGGGCCCCGGCAAGGGGCGGGGCCUGAAUGAGGGAUGGGGCGUGGGAGGGGCGGCUCGGAGGGCGGGAGGACGGACCAGGACCCCUCCGCCCCCAGCGCCACCUGUGAUCCUGGGCGCGGCGUCUCGGGCACCUUGGAAGCCGAGCUCGAGCGGGAAGGGGGGGGUGGGCGAGGUGGGGCCGCAGAUGACCCGGGCGGGGUCGCGGCCCAGGCCGUGCGUGUCCACGUGCUUCUGAAACAGCGGAGGAGGAGGGGGCUGUCGGAGCCUGGGGGUCCAGGGUCGGGGCGACCUCGCUGGGGGGCACCCUGGGCCUCGGGUCUGGGGGUGGCCGGUGCUCCGCGUUCCGGAGUGAGCAGGGGGUGGCGCCCCGUGUCCCGGAGUCUGGGCAUCCGUGUCUGCGCGUUGACGCCCCUUCCAGGUGAAGGGGGCGGGGGCGAGGGCUGCUCCCCCAACGGACCCCACAGACGCUGGAAAACCGGUGCUGCAGCAGCCCCCCCACCACAGGCGUGCACACCGCGCGUCUCUGCCCAGGGUGGGCCGCACCUGCGGAGGGCCGGGACCUUGCCCACACCCCCGACUACUUCAGGGAAGCCCCGGGGCCUCUGGAUCAGGCUGUGAACCCAGGACACGUGGGCAGCCUCCCCAUCCCCUCCGCAGGCGACCCAGGUUCAAGAGAAUCCAGAAAAGAACCCAGAAGAAUCUCGGCCUGCCUCCAAAACUGCCCCCUGGCCCUCCGCAAAGAUGAAAAGCAGAAAUAAAUGACGGGAUCCCAGAAACCAGUCAGUCUUCUGCUCAAGGAGAAGGCCACACGCCAGCCCAGGCAGAAGCAGAGGUGCCAGGCUCCUCCGGACAGCCGACCUGAGGCCGAGGCGAUUCUCACGGGGGCACAGACCGCUGACCCGCAGGACGCAGAUAACAGACGGUGGAGAUGUGGGGACCCGCACGCUGCCCCACGGCCCCUGCGGGGGGACACCGACACCACCCGUGUUCCAUCUGCUCAGCAAGAGCUCCGACGGCCUCCGAGACGACGAACCCAACCGCACGCUGCCGACGAGGGAAGAUGCUCACGAUUCCCCAAGCGAGGAAAGCACGCACGGAACAGGCCGCAGGGAGCCUGGCGCGUCCACCAGCGCUGGACGUGGGGAACUUUCGGUUGGUCUGAACGUUUUAUGUGCAGACGACGUCUACGAGGAGAAACAAGAUGCUCUUCCCCCUGAGGAACAAAGUGCAGGAAAAAAUUAAGUCUAAAGGGAGACCUCAGUGUAGACAAAAGAAUCUGCAUGACCCUCCAGAAACGGGACAGGACAACCGCCAGUUCUGGCAGAACUGUGAGGCCGAGGCCGACAAGUGUCCUGGGAAAGGCCCGGUCACCUCGCCCUGUAGGCACCACAGGAUCCUGCAGGAUGGAGGUGCCGACCCGGGACGCCACGCUCAGUGCUCCCAGAGACCGUAGACACACUGUGCGCCCCGGCCAGGCGACCAAGCCAGGAGGAUGGUGAGGAAGGGACGGCGGCGUCUCCUCUAAGACGAUGAGGUUCUGGGACCACUCGGGCGCCUAAGUCAACAUGGCGCCUUUCUCAACACGAGGGGCAUCUCCUGACACCUCUAGGUGACCCCUCGUGACAUGAAAGCCAGACAGAUGGGUCUGGGAGACGGAACAAGGCGGCACCGAGAUGCAGAGCAGAACACAGGCCACGCCUCACGGCUGUGGAUUCCACACAUCACAGCCGUGGAGCCCACGUAUCGGGGUAAACUGUCUCCCGUGAGGAUUCUGUACAAUCUCCUUCUGGAAACGUCCGCCCUGAGACACGGGGAGAGAGACACCCUCAAGUCACUGCUGGGCAGCACGAGUCCCGACGUCCCCACACAGGGACACACGUGGAGUCCACACCGGUACCCAGGGGGCUCCCUAUGACAGGACGGGCCCCGGUCAGGAGCACGGGGGGGGGGGUCUGUGGAUCGUCUGCAGUUCAAACACAGAACAGAGAGGGUGUGGGAACCUGCGCGCACACACAUGGGGUUAGGGACGCCUGUCUCCGACGUGGGCAGACACCCUGCAGCUGCGUAGGACGCCCCGCCCCGUACAGCACGCGCGCGAGUCCCCUGGGUCCGUGCAGCUCAGAGGGCAGGAACGUCCCCGGGCUCAGCUAGAAAAGCCGCCCCACGGGGUACUAUCGAGCCCACACAGAAGCACGGCCGCUCCCGGCCAGGCCAAUGGGGGCGAGACCCCCAUCCGGCCAGGAGACCAGGGCACAUGACCCCCGCGUGAUGGCCUUAGGAGCUGUGGGAGGUCAGCGGGGUCAGACGAGGUCAGGAGGGCGGAGGUCCCGCGAUGGGGUCAGGUCCUAACAAGAGUCACAGAGCUGCCUCCCGUCUCUGCUGCGAGCACACAGCGAGGAGGGGCCAUCGGUGACCCCAAAGAGAACCCGGAACUGGGGGAAAUAAAGACAAUAAAAAUAAAAUAAAUAAAGUAAAAUAAAGUAAUCUGAUGUUUAAGCCGCCCCGAUUACGGUCCUUCGUUACGGCCGCCAGAACCAAGACGCCAGGACGCGCUGUUGUCACGAGCGACUGCAGACCAACCGCUAAUGCGGUGACGCUUCCUAAGAAGGAAGAGGAACAGCCGGACCCGGGUGAGUCCCGGUGACGCCCGCCACCCUGCAGGCCAGGCAGCUCCGUCCCGUGGGGCAGCGGCCAACCUUCCGGAACAGCCCGCUCACCUGCGGCAGGUGGAGGCGCGGGCACAGCACGUUCUGGGGCCUGUCCUUCUGCCUCAUCCUCCUCGCGGUGUCCUGGAUGGCGUCGCAGAAACAACGGGGAGGCUGUAAGUCAGACAGACGGACGGACGGACGGCUACCGCAGCAAGUGGGGUGCCUGCGACAGCCCACGGGGGAGCCGGUCCCCGAGCCCUUGGAGUGAGUGCACCUUCAGAGCGGGCCCAGCUCAUGGCCGCUGCAUCGGGCCCUCGACCUGGGGAAUGAUGAGGAGUGAGGGAGCAACACCCCUCACAGCCGCGCUGACCGUCCCGUUCCAGGCCUGAGCCAGCCCGUGGGCGCACGGCCGCGUGUCAGCAACAAGAGGGCGCCCCGGCGCAGCCUCCAGGAUGGAUGGGGGCUCAGCCCACACUGGUUUACAAGGUGGUCGUGGGCCGGGAGGAGACCAACCCGAGGAGCGCGAGGCGCAGAAAAAACCAGGGGAGACUGGAGGGUUACGGUUAAAAAAGGUAAAGAAAGAAGAGCCCACCAUAGAAAUAAAAGCUCUCAAUUAAAAGGAAUCCAGGGAAAGUCCUCGCAACAGAUAAAGGGCUAAAGUCGCCACCGUGUUACAGACACACCAAGAGUCUACACCUGCACAGUCCUGGAGGGAAAGUGACACUGACUGACAGACAUGUCUGUCCACUCGUCUGUCCAACCAUCUACCCAUCUACCCACCACUCGACCCAUCCAUCAUCCACCCA
rnacentral:lncRNA from 1 species